rnacentral:rRNA from 1 species
UAGGGAAUCUUCCGCAAUGGGCGAAAGCCUGACGGAGCAACGCCGCGUGAGUGAAGAAGGUCUUCGGAUCGUAAAAUUCUGUUAUUAGGGAAGAACAAAUGUGUAAGUAACUAUGUACGUCUUGACGGUACCUAAUCAGAAAGCCACGGCUAACUACGUGCCAGCAGCCGCGGUAAUACGUAGGUGGCAAGCGUUAUCCGGAAUUAUUGGGCGUAAAGCGCGCGUAGGCGGUUUUUUAAGUCUGAUGUGAAAGCCCACGGCUCAACCGUGGAGGGUCAUUGGAAACUGGAAAACUUGAGUGCAGAAGAGGAAAGUGGAAUUCCAUGUGUAGCGGUGAAAUGCGCAGAGAUAUGGAGGAACACCAGUGGCGAAGGCGACUUUCUGGUCUGUAACUGACGCUGAUGUGCGAAAGCGUGGGGAUCGAACAGGAUUAGAUACCCUGGUAGUCCACGCCGUAAACGAUGAGUGCUAAGUGUUAGGGGGUUUCCGCCCCUUAGUGCUGCAGCUAACGCAUUAAGCACUCCGCCUGGGGAGUACGACCGCAAGGUUG